AUCUUCCUGAGGUGGACAAAGCAAAUGGAAAACGCUUUGUCAAAUUUAAUCAAUUGUUAGAUUUAUUUUCUUCUUCGCCAUGAUACCAAUCUUGAAUGCCCGCCGUGAUCAAUCUUCUUCUUCGACGUGAUUUCAGCUUCUUCACCAAAUCAUAAAAUCCUUUGUUUUUUUUUCUCCUUGUUUCUCUUCAAUUUUGAUUUCAUGGGUUUGUUUUUUUCCGCGAAUUUGAGUUUGAACAAGCUGUAUAAUUGUAGGGCUUGAUUCGUUUCCGAGAUUAUGAAAAAAGCUUGGCUCUUUUUGGGUUUUUUUCUUUUCUUAUGAUUGUUGAAAUUUUAAUGUGGGACAAAGAUUGAUACUUUAUGUUGUGUAAAUUGAAAUUUUUUUGUUUUGUUGCUUCUGAUAUUGUUCUCACAGUACCCGGAUUGAGUGUUAUCAUUAGUGUUGUGCUCACCAGUAGAGCCAUAUUCCAAAGAAUGAAAAACUGCACUAUUUAUGCGGUUUCAAUCACAAUACGUAUUGUGUUUGGCUUCAUGUUCAUUGUUCUCAUAUGGCAGUUCGAUUUCUCGCCUUUCAUGGUCCUGAUCAUAGCAAUCUUAAACGAUGGAAUAAUCAUGACAGUUUCGAAGGACAGAGUGAAGCCAUCCCCACAGCCAGAUAGCUGAAAACUAAGAGAAAUCUUCUCGACAGGUGUUGUUCUUAGAGGCUACCAGGCCUUCAUGACUGUCGUUUUCUUCUGGGUGAUGAAAGAUACUAAUAUUUUCUCGAACAUGUUAGGUGUUAGACCAUUAAGCCAACGUCCUGAACAAAUGAUGGCUGCCCUGUAUCUACAAGUUAGCAUCAUAAGUCAGGCUCUCAUCUUCGUCACCAGAUCCCGUAGCUGGUCCUUCGUUGAACGCACUGGUCUUCUCUUACUUGGGGUGUAUCACUCAUCGUUAUGUUUUUCUCAAUAGCAGUCGGUUCAAGUCUCUGAUGAUAUCCUAAGACGCUGUAAGGAAAUCGCAGUUGAGAUUUUUGGCGAAGAUCAGAGUUGGGGGAAUCGUGCAGCCGAGAGUAAACCAACAAACCAGCCUCAGAAUCGCUAUUCCCAGCCUGAUACCCGUGACUGGCAUAGUCGUCCGCAGGUUCCAAACUCUGUCUGGUCCUGCCCUUGUGCUGGUGAAAGUAGAAGUCCCAUGGUCAGCUAAAAGAGGAGCUCUUUCAGAUAAAGACCGAGUCCUCAAGAACGUGAAAGGGCAGGAUAGGAGACUUGGCACAAUACGUUUCAUUCUACUACACUCUUUUCAGCUAUCAUUUGCCAUUGGCAAAGGAGCUGGUUCCGACCUUUAAGAUCUUGAAGGACAACAAAGUAAUAAAGGAAGUGACAGGGGCUAAAUAUGAAGACUUGCUUGCAGCCAUUGAUGCAGCAAGGUCAGGCUGAGUCUCUCUCAAUCACUCAUGCUGUAAAGUAUUAGGUUCAUCCUCCUUCUUAAUCCUGACAAGUUACCAACCCAAUUCACCUACCUGUCGAUACUGGUUUUGCAAACGACGCAAAGUUGAUGAUUUUGUCCUCAAGGCAACAGUUGAGGACAAACUCGCAAAUGACUUGGAAGGAAUGGAGCUUACAUUGGAGCCAGAGGCUGUUGACUUUUAAUCAACGAUCGAUGCAUACAAAUAUGUUGACAGUGUCGUGGUGGUAAGCUUGUGAUUUCCUUCAGUUAACAAUGGACCAAUUGCUUUAUGUUGUACUUAUCAAGCAUAACAAGGACACAGUUGAGUCUAGCGGAGAAGCUAAACAU